GAUGAACGCUGGCGGCGUGCCUAAUACAUGCAAGUCGAGCGAACGGACGAGAAGCUUGCUUUUCUGAUGUUAGCGGCGGACGGGUGAGUAACACGUGGAUAACCUACCUAUAAGACUGGGAUAACUUCGGGAAACCGGAGCUAAUACUGGAUAAUAUUUUGAACCGCAUGGUUCAAAAGUGAAAGACGGUCUUGCUGUCACUUAUAGAUGGAUCCGCGCUGCAUUAGCUAGUUGGUAAGGUAACGGCUUACCAAGGCAACGAUGCAUAGCCGACCUGAGAGGGUGAUCGGCCACACUGGAACUGAGACACGGUCCAGACUCCUACGGGAGGCAGCAGUAGGGAAUCUUCCGCAAUGGGCGAAAGCCUGACGGGGCAACGCCGCGUGAGUGAUGAAGGUCUUCGGAUCGUAAAACUCUGUUAUUAGGGAAGAACAUAUGUGUAAGUAACUGUGCACAUCUUGACGGUACCUAAUCAGAAAGCCACGGCUAACUACGUG
rnacentral:rRNA from 1 species